GAUGAAGAACGUAGCGAAAUGCGAUAAGUAGUGUGAAUUGCAGAAUUCAGUGAAUCAUCGAAUCUUUGAACGCACAUUGCGCCCGCUAGUAUUCUGGCGGGCAUGCCUGUUCGAGCGUCAUUUCAACCAUCAAGCCCUGUUUAGGCUUGUGUUGGGGCCCUGCGGUUGCCGCAGCCCCCUAAAUGCAGUGGCGGGCUCGUUGUCACUCCGAGCGCAGUAGCGUAUCUCGCUCUGGGCGUGGCGGCGGGUGCUAGCCGUGAAACACCCACUAAGGUUGACCUCGGAUCAGGUAGGAAUACCCGCUGAACUUAAGCAUAUCAAUAAGCGGAGGA
rnacentral:misc_RNA from 1 species